CAUACAAUGUAGUAUCCUCGUAUCACGCGUGCAUCUAAUGUUAUGUAAAUAAAAUCCACACGUAAAGGUAACGUGAACCGUAAGUUCAAAGACUGGGAUUCGGAAGGCAUGUGGUAUACAGCCUUCAACAAGCUGAUGCUCACGUGAUAGGGUACUCUUUAUAAACAAGGACCACUGCCAGUUAUUUUCAGUGCUGACGAUAUUCGCAUUAUCUGUCUUUGGAUUAAUUUCUUGUGUGUGCAUGAAACUAUUAUUAGAAAGAAAGAUGCCUAAAGAAGUCAGCAUUCAGAAUCCUAUUGAAAUAAACACAAGAAUGAGUCCUAAUAAGAAGAUAGAAUGGACACACAAAGUCAACCAAAUCUCUAUACACAGAGAACAAACAGAAGACAGCAGCAACAAUAAUGGUUGGGGGCCGUUGUUUAAAAACAAGGCACAUUUUGUUGACUUACAUGUGUGCUAAACAACAAUGCAUGCUAAUAACAAGAUCUGAAUUUUACCUUUUGCAAAGUUACUUAAGAAUCCAUUAACUAAGAAAACAAUUCAUGCAGUUAUAAAGACAAAGUAUGAAAGAUGAGAAGAAGUAAAGAUGGAAGAAUGAUAUUAAAUUGAAUCAACCAACUUGUAAUAAACAAUCUGUUGUCUGGGUCGUAUGUCAUUUAGCAGCAUCAUUUCAAUGAGAGAUUUGACAUUUUACCCACCUGAAUCUAUAGAAACUUGGAUUCAGUUUGAUAAAACAUCAAGGUUCAUUGAAGAACUAAAUUUGUUACAAACCUCAACCAAUUUUCAUGUCUGGGAUUAAACUUAUGGUUCAUCAACUGGUCGUCCAACAUCCUAACCAUUUAGAUUUCAUCAAUUUAGAACAAAUAUUUUCACUUACAGAAUGAAUAAAAUAAAAUAAUUCAUAAA